CGGGCGGCAGCUACACAUGCAGUCGAGCGAGCUCUUCGGAGCUAGCGGCGGACGGGUUAGUAACGCGUGGGAACGUGCCCUUCACUGCGGAAUAGCCACUGGAAACGGUGAGUAAUACCGCAUACGCCCUUCGGGGGAAAGAUUUAUCGGUGAAGGAUCGGCCCGCGUUAGAUUAGAUAGUUGGUGGGGUAACGGCCUACCAAGUCUACGAUCUAUAGCUGGUUUUAGAGGAUGAUCAGCAACACUGGGACUGAGACACGGCCCAGACUCCUACGGGAGGCAGCAGUGGGGAAUCUUGGACAAUGGGCGCAAGCCUGAUCCAGCCAUGCCGCGUGAGUGAUGAAGGCCUUAGGGUCGUAAAGCUCUUUCGCCAGAGAUGAUAAUGACAGUAUCUGGUAAAGAAACCCCGGCUAACUCCGUGCCAGCAGCCGCGGUAAUACGGAGGGGGUUAGCGUUGUUCGGAAUUACUGGGCGUAAAGCGCACGUAGGCGGAUCAGAAAGUUGGGGGUGAAAUCCCGGGGCUCAACCCCGGAACUGCCUCCAAAACUCCUGGUCUUGAGUUCGAGAGAGGUGAGUGGAAUUCCGAGUGUAGAGGUGAAAUUCGUAGAUAUUCGGAGGAACACCAGUGGCGAAGGCGGCUCACUGGCUCGAUACUGACGCUGAGGUGCGAAAGUGUGGGGAGCAAACAGGAUUAGAUACCCUGGUAGUCC
rnacentral:rRNA from 1 species